AAGUAGCUUCGCGGUAAACCAUGGAAGCUGGUCUUCAUAUGUUGAGAGAUUGGAAAUGUACUUUUUGGUGAAUAAAG
rnacentral:pre_miRNA from 9 species